rnacentral:rRNA from 1 species
AGUAAUGUAUGGGGAUCUGCCCGAUAGAGGGGGAUAACUACUGGAAACGGUGGCUAAUACCGCAUAAUGUCUACGGACCAAAGCAGGGGCUCUUCGGACCUUGCACUAUCGGAUGAACCCAUAUGGGAUUAGCUAGUAGGUGGGGUAAAGGCUCACCUAGGCGACGAUCUCUAGCUGGUCUGAGAGGAUGAUCCGCCACACUGGGACUGAGACACGGCCCAG